AUGCUCCCAGGAGCCUGACAUUAAUGAGCCCUGCCCAAUUUACAGCUCACAGGAGGAGGUCCCAAAGCCUUCUAACAAGUUCUUCAGGAGAAAAGAGACCACGGAGAUCACCCAGCUACAAACGCUGAGAUCUACAACAGAGACCUACUAAAAGGGUUGAGGCGGCCGCGUGGUUCCCCGAUGCCCCGACGGAGUUGUAGCUGCUAAGAUGACCAAAGUCAAGGCUGUUCUCAAGGAGUCCGAGGCUCAGGCGGAGGGCUGCAACGAGGAGCGCACGUACAAAGAGCUGCUGGUCAACCUGAACCCCAUCGCGCAGCCCCUGGCUUCCCACCUCCUGACGUGCAAGCUCUACAAGUGCAUCAAGAAGGCUGUGAAGCAGAAGCAGAUUCCUCGCGGGGUGAAGGAGGUUCAGAAAUUUGUCAACAAGGGCGAGAAAGGGAUCAUGGUUUUGGCAGGAGAUACAUUGCCAAUUGAGGUGUACUGCCAUCUCCCAGUUCUAUGCGAGGACUUGGGUGCAGCCCCAGGCUCCAAGCGUCCUACUUGUGUGAUCAUGAUGAAGCCCCAUGAAGAAUAUCAGGAGACCUACGACAAGUGCCUGGAGGAGGUGCAGGCACUGCCUACACCUCUGUGAGAGACUUGGCCUGCAGGCUUGCUGCAGACAGC